UACGAAGGGUGCAAGCGUUACUCGGAAUUACUGGGCGUAAAGCGUGCGUAGGUGGUGAGUUAAGUCUGUCGUGAAAGCCCCGGGCUCAACCUGGGAAUGGCGAUGGAUACUGGCUCGCUAGAGUGCGGUAGAGGAGAGUGGAAUUCCGUGGUGUAGACAGUGAAAUGCGUGAGAUAUCAGGAGGAAUACCGAUGGCGAAGGCAGGUCUCUGGGCUGACACUGACGCUCAUGGCACGAAAGCGUAGGGGAGCAAACAGG
rnacentral:rRNA from 1 species